GUUCAUCAACCUCAGCCAAAGGUGGCUGAACUUUGACCUUCAUUUUUUACAGGCUGCGAUGCUGAAACUUGGACCACUUGCAGCCCUCUUCACGUGUAACACGUCAAUAAAUUUUCAUUGCACUAGAACAACUUUUAUGAACCCUAACUAUCGCCCCCUUAAGUGAAGGCAGCACGCAAAACUCACGUCGGCACCUGCGGGUCACAAGGGGCGAUGAAGUGUAGGUACCUCAUCUGGGACCAUCGAAGAAGAUAACCAGGUCCUACAUCUGAGGUAGGCGGCUGGACAGGGGGGCAGGCCCAGCCAGCUCGCACGAGCACUAGGCUGAUCCUCCUUUCCUCUCCCCUAAUGGACGACUCGGCUUCCAACAGAAGAGAGUCCAAAUAGCACCAAGUAACGACAACAUCUCUACCAAGUUCUCCCUGCCCACCGCCUUACUCAUGCAGUGUUUGCUUGGCAUCCAUUCCCCACUAUUCCCUUAUUUCUUACCUUAUGUUUGAUUGCACUAAUAUAACUUUGACCCUUUACCUUACCCACAUGUGUAUUUAAGAUAACUAUGUAUAUUGUAUUCAUUUCUUACCUAAAUAUGUUCCUGAGUGGAACAAAAUGUAGAAAAUAAAUCUUCAGUAACAA